UACGGGGGGAGCAAGCGUUGUUCGGAUUUACUGGGCGUAAAGGGCGCGUAGGCGGCGUGACAAGUCACUUGUGAAAUCUCCGGGCUUAACUCGGAACGGUCAAGUGAUACUGUCGUGCUAGAGUACAGAAGGGGCAACUGGAAUUCUCGGUGUAGCGGUGAAAUGCGUAGAUAUCGAGAGGAACACCUGCGGCGAAGGCGGGUUGCUGGGCUGACACUGACGCUGAGGUGCGAAAGCGUGGGGAGCAACAGG
rnacentral:rRNA from 1 species